GAUGAAGAACGUAGCGAAAUGCGAUAAGUAAUGUGAAUUGCAGAAUUCAGUGAACCAUCGAAUCUUUGAACGCACAUUGCGCCCGGCAGUAAUCUGCCGGGCAUGCCUGUCCGAGCGUCAUUUCUGCCCUCGAGCGAGUCCAGCAUCUAGGUGCUGGGCCCGCCCGGCGUUGGGGCACUACGGGAAGCCCUGUGCUGUCCCCCGUAGGCCCCGAAAUGAAGUGGCGGUCCUGCCGCGGCGCCCCCUGCGUAGUAUAACAGCUCGCUUCGGGACCCGGUGGAGGCCUGCCGUCAAACCGUACUCUCUAAGUUUGACCUCGGAUCAGGUAGGGUUACCCGCUGAACUUAAGCAUAUCAAUAAGCGGAGGA
rnacentral:misc_RNA from 1 species